rnacentral:rRNA from 1 species
GAUGAACGCUGGCGGCGUGCCUAAUACAUGCAAGUCGAGCGAACAGACGAGGAGCUUGCUCCUCUGACGUUAGCGGCGGACGGGUGAGUAACACGUGGAUAACCUACCUAUAAGACUGGGAUAACUUCGGGAAACCGGAGCUAAUACCGGAUAAUAUAUUAAACCGCAUGGUUCAAUAGUGAAAGACGGUUUUGCUGUCACUUAUAGAUGGAUCCGCGCCGCAUUAGCUAGUUGGUAAGGUAACGGCUUACCAAGGCAACGAUGCGUAGCCGACCUGAGAGGGUGAUCGGCCACACUGGAACUGAGACACGGUCCAGACUCCUACGGGAGGCAGCAGUAGGGAAUCUUCCGCAAAGGGCGAAAGCCUGACGGAGCAACGCCGCGUGAGUGAUGAAGGUCUUCGGAUCGUAAAACUCUGUUAUUAGGGAAGAACAAAUGUGUAAGUAACUAUGCACGUCUUGACGGUACCUAAUCAGAAAGCCACGGCUAACUACGUG